ACGGUCCUAAGGUAGCGAAAUUCCUUGUCGGGUAAGUUCCGACCUGCACGAAUGGCGUAACGACUUCCCCACUGUCUCGACCAGGAGCUCGGCGAAAUUGCAGUACGAGUAAAGAUGCUCGUUAAGCGCAGAAGGACGAAAAGACCCCGGGACCUUUACUAUACCUUGGUAUUGGCAUUCGGUGUGGAUUGUGUAGCAUAGGCGGGAGGCCGAGAGGCGCGGUCGCCAGAUCGCGCGGAGCCGUAAGGUGAAAUACCGCUCUGUUCGCAUUGGAUGUCUAACCUCGAACAGUCAUCCUGUUCAGGGACAGUGCCUGGCGGGUAGUUUAACUGGGGCGGUUGCCUCCCAAAGAGUAACGGAGGCGCCCAAAGGUCCGCUCAGCCCGGUUGGCAAUCGGGUGGCGAGUGCAAGUGCACAAGCGGGCUUGACUGCGAGGACGACGGUCCGAGCAGGGACGAAAGUCGGGACUAGUGAUCCGGUGCCGGUGUACGGACGCGGCAUCGCUCAACGGAUAAAAGGUACCCCGGGGAUAACAGGCUGAUCAUUCCCAAGAGUCCAUAUCGACGGGAUGGUUUGGCACCUCGAUGUCGGCUCAUCGCAUCCUGGGGCUGGAGCAGGUCCCAAGGGUAUGGCUGUUCGCCAUUCAAAGCGGUACGCGAGCUGGGUUCAGAACGUCGUGAGACAGUUCGGUCCCUAUCCUCCGUGGGCGCAGGAGAAUCGAUGGAGGCUGCCCCCAGUACGAGAGGACCGGGGUGGACGCACCUCCGGUGAACCGGUUGUCGACCAACGGCACGGCCGGGUAGCCGCGUGCGGCGCGGAUAACCGCUGAAGGCAUCUAAGCGGGAAGCCGUUCCAGGGAUUAGUUCUCCUUCCGGUAAGGGCCCAGGUAGACUACCUGGUCGAUAGACGGCAGGUGCAAGGGCGGCGACGUCCUCAGCCGAGCCGCACUAAUCGCCCGAGCUCUUCCGGAA
rnacentral:rRNA from 1 species